rnacentral:lncRNA from 1 species
CUCCUAAUUAGUAUCUAAACAUUUGAUGUAACAGGUGCUAAAUAUUCGAUGUGACAUGUGCUAAAAAUAAGCAGGUUGAACCAAACACCCUAUAAGAUAACCGAUAGGAAUUCCAAACAUCCCAAUCAGAUCUUCCCCAACCCCAACCUCAGGCACAAUCUUCCCCACGUCUCGCGUAGCGUAGAACAAGCCAACAACUUACUACUACGUGCUUGGUCGCCAUUUCUUCUCCAAGAGGCCGAAGCUAAUUAAUUAACCAACAGGAACCAAACAUCCCGAUCAAAUCUUUUCCCCAAUAAUAUGUGGGGGACCGGCAGCGGAGUCGAUGGCUGCUUCUGCUUGCGUGUGCAGCCUCGAUUCUGGGGACCCAUCGUGCUGAUGAUGAGUGAGUGAGUGCAUGACUGAUUUUGUGGCUGACGAUCGAGCAAUGAUCCUAGCCGAUGCGUACGUGCACCCACUAAGCACGGAGCGUGCAUCAAAUUAACCAACACACGAUCAAUCGAUUCUCACGGCGCGAUCAAUUCAAAGUUUCAAACUAAUGCAGCAGCGGAACGUGGGAGGACUGGAGGAGGAUGCUCACCUGGAGGCGGCGAGCGGCGAAGUAGCGGAGGUAGAGGAAGUAGGCGGCGGCGAGGCCGAUGGGGAGGCCGACGCAGAAGCCGAGGACGCCGCCGACGAGGCCCAUCGCCGCCGUCCUCCCUGCGAUGAUCGCGAAUGCCGCUGCGCCGCCGUCGCCGCCCACGGCGGCAACCGCAUGGGGAGUCGGGAACCGCCCGUACGCGCGGAGGUUGGUUGCUGGCGGUUGUCGUGUGGCUCGGUGGUUGGGUUGCUCCUCCUCGGAGACGUCGAACCGAGGCGGGGACAACUACUACUAGAACUAGACGCGGCGGAGCGGGGUGGGGGAGGCGGGAAGGGCGAAGCGAGCAAGAGGGCUGAGCUGGCGGUGUUUAUCGGGGGGAGGGGGCGGAGAACGGGAUGCGCGCCGGCGCUUGGCUGAUGGGUUUUAUGGCGAGGCCGGCGCGCCCGUGCCGCGCGGCGCGGAUGGGUGGAAAAGAGAACCAGCCGAAAUCCACGCGCCGCGCCCGAACAAAAGCCUCGCGGCGGCGGCGGCGGCGGGGGCAGGGGCCAGAGCCCAGGGAGCUGAGGGCUCGGCGCACGGGCGCACGGGCGGAUCGCGUGCGUGCUAGUCCGCGACACGGCUUCAGGCUUUGCUCCUGUUCGUUGUCUUGACUGGGGUGGUGUUGGUUUGGUGGUUGGCCGCUUCCACAUUGCCGUCGGCUGACGGCUGACGACGAGACUUGCCAAAGGCGAUGGCUUUUGGGUUGGCCAUUUGCCCGUAAUUCCAAGCUGCCGUUCAGCCCAACUCCUGCACCUGAUCUUGUUUGGAAGUCAGGCCCGAUGUGUACUGAAGCAACGGUUACACCUCCAUAGCUACCCCCCGUGUAAGAGCAGCUCCAGCGUGUAGUUUUAGUUGGUGCUAGCAGGAGAGAGGAUGGGAUGGAGAACUUUUUUUUUAUUUUUAACCCUUUUUUUUCUUUAUUUAUAAAAAUAACCUCAGCGGGGGUUUAUUUGCGCGGCCUAACCCUUUUGGCCGCGCCAGACCGCCUGGCGCGGCAGGAACAUGCUGCCGCGCCACAUGCACUGGCGCGGCAGACCCCUGCCACGCUGGCGUGGCGAGCCGCGGCGUCAGCGCCCGCCUGCCGCGGCGCCAGGCCGGCGCCAGGCGGGCGCUGACGUGGGCGGGCGUUCGCCGCGCCAGCCCGCCUGGCGCGGCAGGGCCAACACUUAGACCGCGCGCCGGCUCCCUUCCUCCUCCCUCCCUCCUUUCUUCCUCCUCCAGACACACCACACAGCAGCACCUUGCAGCGCCGGCCCCCGCCACCCCACCCCCAAAUCCACCAAAAAUCCGGCGUUUUUGGUGGGGGAAAGUAGUGGGAAUCGAUCCCUGCUUCGUGUGGAAGGUAUUCCCCUACUUAUUCUCGUGUUUUACCGUUGCAUUUGGUAGAUCGGAGGAUGUUUAUGUGACUUAGGGUUAGGUUAGUGAUUUGAAAUUUUAAUGAAAUGCAAUGGUAUUUUGUGUUAGAUGAUACGUAGUUCAUACGCAAUUGAGUCUCUGCCCGCGAUAUUGACGUGUAGAACUUGUUGAAUGCUUCGAUUUAGGUAUAUAUUCAUCCAAUUGUGUGGUUUACAUGACAUGUAUUUUUUUUAUAUGUUCAAUUAAUUACUCUCAUUUUUGUUUCAGUGUUUGUAUUUUGUAGAUCGAGUGUUUACAUUUUAUCAAAAUGAUGUAUAGCUAGUAUGGAUUACGUGUGUAAAGUUUAUUUGUGUAUUAAAUUUGUUGCACUUGAUUUCCAGGUGAGAUGGCGUCGUUUGGUUCUGAAUACAAUCAAGGCAUCCAAAGACAGCCGGAAGAGCCUUCUAUGUAUGCAAAUGGACUUUUGAUCCAUUGCCUGCCGCACCUUGCGAUUUCUUUCAGUGGAUCGAUGGACCCGACAAAUAUGAUCCUAGGAUCCGCCUAUUCCCAUAUCAUAGCACAGAGCUUAAACCAUACCAUAAGUUUAGGCGUUGGGUUCCUCCUCCACCAAACCCACCUAGGAUGACCGAUGAGGAGAAGCAGGAGGCUGCUUGUAGGCGUGUGAGGGAUCCUCCCAUGUGCAAGUGUGGUGUUCCUGCUAAGCUUAUGCGUCCUAACUUAGGGGAUCCACCUAAGUUUACUCCAUUCUUUCGAUGCUCCCUAAAGACUCAUGUAAGUAUAUUACGAGAAUAUUAGUAUGUCGUUUAGCUAGCAGUUAUAAUUUUGCAGUAUAUUGUUCAUACUUUAACUUGAUGUUAUUGCUUGGUAGUUGGAGCAGCGUUUUGUAGUUACUUUACAUAUGAGUAGUUCACGUCAUGGGUUUUUUGCAGGAUGGGUGGCCGUUGUGUGAUUUCAAUGAGUAUAUAUACGGCCCAAUGGCAAUGUGGCCAACAGAGGAGGAAGUGCGGGAGUUUGAAAGUGAAAAUGCACCGUGGCCAUGUGUGUCCUCUCCUAGUGAUAGAUGCAAGUGUGGUAUAUUGGCAACAGAAGGUGUGGUGCCUUCUGAACUUGGAUAUGGUUCGUUCUGUGGAAAUGCACAUGGCGAUUACUGGGUUAGUAACUACUCGUCUCUUAUGUUUUAUGAAGGUUGUAACUUGAUUCAAAUUUGUAAGAAUAUUGAAUUGUUGUUGCAGGAGGGAAGGACAUGUGAUUGGGAAGAUUUUUGUGGUCGAUAUGAUUUGUUAUUAAAGUUGGGAAAUACAUCGGAACCAUGGAAGUUAAGGAAACAACAAGAAAUUAAAGAAAAGAUUAGGAAGAAGUAUGAUGUGCCUAUUCCUGACGACGACUUGCUUUGGGGAAAAAUAUAUCAAGAUAUGGUGCAUGAGACUGGAGUGAAACCUAAUGGACUUUAUGCAAGGGAAACUAUUAUUAAGUAUUGGAGGCAAAAUAGAUCCAAGUAUCCACGACCUCUAACUGAAAAUGAGAAGAGAGAAAAUAGGAGGAAGUUGCAGGAGGAGAGGGAGUUGGAGAAACAAAGGUUGAUGGAGGAAAGAGAUCGCUUAGGUUAUGUGGUUGAUCCGAAUGUGAAAUAUCCUGAGGGUUCAUGGGAACAAUAUUUGCAACAAAAAGCGGCAAGAAAAAGAAGGCUUGAAAUGGAAGAGUUACAACAAAAAGCGGAAGAGGCACAGAUGGAGACGAUGAAGGCUCUUGUUGCCGAUUUACCUGUUGGUAAGGUUAAUGUCGAUAAGAAAGGCAAGGGAGUUGUUGUUGCCGGAGAUGUUGAUGAUGAUGAUGAUGACGACGAGUUACUAUAUGAAGGUGACUCGGACUAGAUGAACGUGUUGAUGUAGCUGGAUCAUGUUUCUCUGAAAACUAUGUAGAACAUUAUGUUUAUGUUUAUUCUGGGAACUAUAAUUAGUUGUCAAAAACUAUUUUCAUUUCCGAGAGAACUAUGUUCAGACGCAUCAAAGUUUGCCGUGACAUGACUGGCUUCUUGUGGUUUUGGCGUGCUGUUUUCCUGACCUCCUGUCCACGGAUCACCGUAGUCAAUCUCCAUGCAUCUUCCCGACCCGGAAGGAAUAAGGUAUAGGAAAGAAGGCAAUGCUUUCUUUUUUUUUCAUUUUUGAUCUGUAAAUUGAGUUGUUAAUGAAUCCGCUUUAUUCGCCGACUCUAUUUCAUUCGCUGAAUAUAUAUGAUAUUUCUUUUCUUUGAAACACAAAUUCUAUAACAAGGUUUGAGACCUUUUGUUUGUAUCUAUUUAUCUCUUUGUAUACUAGUGGAAUUUCAUUGUAUUGGGUUCUUUCUUAGAUCUAAAUGGAGUGGAAUAGAGAAAUAAAAAAAAGGCCUUUCAUAUAAAAAUGGAAGAAUAUUAUACCAUAUAUCUCACUUGGAUAAAACAAAUUAGAAGCAAUUUUCUCUUAUUCUCGUUUGUUCCUUCCUUUAGAUAAAUACUCGAAAAUCUACUGAAAUCUACUUUCAGUAGGUUGUGUCGUGCCGCGCUAGGAGGCCUGGCGCGGCAAGGCUGAGCUGUCGCGCCAAACGCAACCUACUUUCAGUAGGUUUCGCCGGGUAGGAGGCCGGCCUUGCCGCGCCAGGCGGCCUGGCGCGGCAGGGCUGAGCUGCCGCGCCAAACGCAACCUACUUUCAGUAGGUUGCGCCGAGGGGGCCGGCCUUGCCGCGCCAGGCGGCCUGGCGCGGCAGGGCUGGGCUGCCGCGGCAAACGCAACCUACUUUCAGUAGGUUUCGCCGGGUAGGAGGCCGGCCUUGCCGCGCCAGGCGGCCUGGCGCGGCAGGGGUGAGCUGCCGCGCCAAAUGCAACCCAAUUUCAGUAGGUUUCGCCGGGGGGUGGUGGCGGCAAGGGUGCGCGGCCGAGCCAAUUUUAGUAAACUUUCAUUAGGUUUCAGCCCAGGGGGGUGGGGCAUCAGGAGCGCGCUGCACAAUCCGAAACGUAUUUUUGUGCUAAACAUUUACGGAAAAAUACACGAAAUACAAGUACAUCAUGGAGCAAACAUAUAACAUUGUACGGACAUAAAAAAACGUAACAACCAACUUAGUCUUUUACAAACGUGACAUGAAUUAACCUAACAUGCUUAGUCUUUUACCAACUUAGUCUUUUACAAAUGUGACAUGAAUAAACGUGACAUGGAAUAAUUGGGCACAUGAUAGGUUCAGUGGCGUGACCGCCGCUCAUCCGGAGGGCUAAAAGGAUCUCUUGGGCGACGCUCCCUCCUUGGAUGCGUGGGCAGCACAUUGGCGCUGCCAACGUCGGUGUGGUCCCGGGAACGACGACGUCGGCGUGGCAACCGGGUAUGAGUUGCAGGUUCCUAUUGAAUAAUUGGACACAAAUCAUAAAAUUUGUAUGACACUUCGGGAGCGAACAUUAAAAUGUAUAAUUGAAACUGGAGGAACUUCUGAAUAUACCUGGCUGGACUCUCCCUGCGUCUGAGUCACAGGUGGAGCAUCGUGAGAAAUCUCGAGUUCCUCACCAUACGUAGGGUCAUCAUCCUCAGACUGCUCACCUUCCGAGUCCUCGCUUUCCUGAGGGGAUGCGGGUUCCUUACCUCGCGAUCUCCUGCUAGGACCUGCCGCAGUGGACGGUGUUGCAGCCCUGGGGGUAGUCACCAAUGCAGUCCGACGUGAUCCUGAAGAAGUACCCUGGACAUUGGCCCCGUCGUGCGCAUCUGAGGAUGUCAUGCAGUUCAUCCUCUGCGCCAUUCGCCUGCAACUUUUACGAACCCUUUGCCAUAUAUUCACGACUAUGUUAUUGAUGGUUACAAAGAUAGUACGAGUAUAAGUGAAAAUUUGUUUGGGCUUCUACCUCUGCAAAAGCACGAAGCAGACUAUCACCUUCCCCAACAGCGUGCUCCAUAAUCACGCCCGCCUCGUUAGAGAGCCUUGCAAGCUGCUGCCCCUGCACGCAGUAGUUUUCAUUCCAUAAGUGAUCAAUGUGACGAUACUAUAAUUACAAACCGAAAGCUUACCAUGUAGUCGUGGAGAGGUGCACGCUCAGGCUGUGUCCCAUGGCGUGUCACGGUGACGUACGCGUCAGCUAUGUCAGCGUCAUCAUCAGACGGUGCAUCCUCAAUGGGCACAUUAGUCCAAGAUGGUUUCACUUUGGUUCUCGUCGAAGUACAGUACCAUCUUAUGUACUCAUUGUUGGGUCGCCAGUACGGUCCACCUUCAGGAUCGCAUCCUUCCUUGUUCUGCCACAUGUGGAUGUACCGGUCAUGCUUCACCCUCCAAUCAUUUUCCUUGUACCGCUUUCUGCGGUCGAUACUGCAUCAGAAAUUAGUGAAGUAUUAGUAUAACACGUUAAUUGCGUUAAUUGAAUACCCUCCAAUAGUUAUUUAUUCCUGCGUACCUGUGCAGCUGCUGCGAAGUCGAUAAUUCCAAAGGAGGGCACGGUUGCAUCCUCCCAAACUGCCGCAUCACCCUAUGCGGCAUAUGAAACUCUACCACGUAGUACAGUAUCAUUGGGGUCAUGCACCUCCACAGCUCUCUGUCUCUGUAGCACGUCGGUGAAAAGACGAUCUCGCUAAGCUGCUGACGGUCAUACGGUUUCCAUUCCACCUUCAAAAAUUUUCACGCAAUACUUAUUUCAUCUACCAUUAUACGCAAGUUAGCUUAAAAAACUAUUAUGGUUACCAAAUUACCUGGUACUGCGUGAGAACAUCAAACUCGUUCGUGUAGGCCCUGUAGUGCCUAUCCGGAUUGCCACGAACGGGCCGCACAUGCUUCCACACGUGAUAGAACGUGGGAAGAGCAUCGUCUCGAUGCCAUGGCUGAAAUUGCAAGUAAGUCCAAUUGGUCACAUGAUACAAUAGUUUUUCGAACAUUAACGUAGAAAAAGGAAUUAGCCGUUGUGACUUACAUCGACACGGAGGCGGGAAGGUCGACCCACGGGCAUUCGCUCCCAAAUCCAUAUCUGGAGCAUAUAAGUGCACCCUCCAACAUUAGAAUCUCUCGCUGUGCGCCGGCAAGCCUCACAUAACUGUCUGUACAGCCAGGCAAGAGCCGCUGAGCCCCAACUGUAAGUGGCUAUGUUUUCCCAAACUUGACCUAGAAUGGGGAGAACCAUCCAUGAUACUGUGUUCCCAGCUGCAUCUGGAAGGAGGAAUGUACUGACAAAGUGCCAUAGCCACACUCGAGCAAAGCGCUGCACGACCUCGUCAUUUGCUCCCGGAGGACACACCUCGAAGUGCUCCCUCAACCAUGCCGAGCUAACACCGGACGUCUUCUUCGAGCUAUCUCCGCCCUCUGGCUCUGGCGGCCUAAUCCCAAUAUGCAUCUCGACCAUAUCACGCCAAUUCUCAUUCUGGAUAAUACCUGUCACUGGCAGCCCAUGCAGUGGAAGGCUGAGUAUCAUAGCCGCAUCCUGCAUUGUGAUGGUCAUUUCUCCGAAGGGCAUGUGGAACGUGUGAGUCUCCGGACGCCACCUGUCGACCAUAGCGGUCAACAGUGGUCCGUCCAUUGGAGGGAGACCCCCCACGACCUGAACAGCGAUAUCCAAGAAACCUGCUCUCUGCAGGUACUGGGCGUACCGCUCAUCCCACCUAAGUGGUGAGUGCACCCUAGCCCUGAGUGGUGUCAAAUUCUGCAAAACAUUAUAAGAUUAUUACCAAAAUGAGAAGUCAAUCCAAUUGUGAAUAACGGGCUUCUAAAGUGGUAAGUAACACAAAUAUGAUACAAAUGACAUUUGCAGUAUGAAAUUGUUUACACUCUACACAAGCGAAUAGUAACAAUAGGCACAUCCUUAAUUAAUUUAUAAGAACAUUUCAUACGAAAAUCUUGCAAUUCUCAUCCUAAGGUAUGCAUUCAUCAGCAAAAAUUAGCAACCAUUGUUAUACCUCAUUCAUGUCCGCGAGGUGGUGGGCACGGUGGUGCAAGUCGUAAGCAGCCUCAAGAAGAGGGUACCCGGGGCCGCCAUCCUAAAGAAACAACAUAAAUGAUCGUUAGUAAAAAGCUUCAUUACAUGAUAAGUACGGAAAAUAUGAUAAUGUACUACUAUAAAAAAGAUAAAAUAAUAGCCACGCAUAAUACAAGCAACGCGCAUACCCAAUUGUUCGAAGUACGCGGCCUAUUACUGCUCGGUCUAGAUUUAGUGCCUUUUGAUUUUCUACUGCGGCAUGUGCAAUUCCUGAUGAUCUUGUGGCACUUGGAGCAACGAUUUUCCGACUUGUCAAUAUCAAAAUCACCAGUAUCAUAAUCUGCAGAAAGCCUCCCUUCCGACACGUCCAUCUCGCCUGUGAAACGCUUCUUCUGCCGCCUUCCUACUUUAUUUCUCAUUAAACUGGGGUUAGGCACGUACCCUACCCCUUCAUAUGCCGGCCAUUGUGACGGAUCUAGGUAAGGUUGAAAGCUUGAUUCCCAAAUUUUGAUGGUGUGCUCCCUAGAGUACAACGGUGACAUGUACAUGGGGCUUUCAAAGUUAAGACCUCUUGCCUUGCAAGCUGUAAUGAAGUGUGAACAUGGAAGGUGCAACAAUUGAGGAACAUUGCAGGUGCACGAAACUUCGUGCAGAUCCACUCUAUAGUGUCGACCUCCAUGACUCUCACCCCCAAUGUUAGUCGUACCGUAACUUCUUAUAGAAUACACCAUCCUUUCUGGCCCGAACGGUUCUGCUAAGUGGUGCACGGAUCUAAGCUCAGCCUCUGAUAAAUAAUUAUCUGCAACUUGCCCAAUUCUAUAGCCUUGAUCUAACAUGUCACGUGCCUUUCCCCAUCGGUUCACAAAGUAGGCGUUGCAUUUUUCGAAUGUGUAUUCAAUAAUUCCAGCGACGGGCCUACUUCGGAUGCCUUUGAAAACUCCGUUGAGUGAUUCCGAGAAGUUCGUGGUCAUAAUACCCCACCGCAUCCCUCCCUCAUCGAAAGCCUGCGCCCAUUUAUCCUUGUCCCCCAUUUCACCCUUCAACCAUUCUUUUGCGUCGUCGUUCAAGUCCUUCACUAAAUCUUCUAACUUCUCACGAAAUUCUCUCUGUAUGAACCGUGCAUAAUAAUUUCAAUUUUCCAAUCACACGAUUGCUCUUCUGCCGACGCGACAUGUUGGCAGCAAAGUGCCUCAUGCACCACCUAUGCACAAGCGGUGGAAAACCAUCAAUGUGGUCCUUUGCACAAAUUAGAAGCCCAUGAUGCCUAUCUGAUAUCAUACACACUAUCCGUGAAGGUCCAAGAACAUUUACUCGAACAAGUUUCAUAAACCAUGACCAACUCUCAUUAUUCUCACUCUCGACCAAGGCAAAAGCAAGAGGCACAAUCUGUUGUUCUGGAUCUACAGCAACUGCCAUCAUUAAUGUACCAUUGUACUUGCCAGUCAAAAAUGUACCGUCCACCAGUAUCACAGGACGGCAAUUUUGAAAUGCCUCACUACAUUGAGGGAAGCACCAAAAUACCCUUUGCAGUAUAUGCUUCAACACUCCAUUGUCAGGAACCAUCAUGCCACAUGAGUCGAUCCACCAUUUAACUCCGGGAUUGUAGUAGGUUAUAGCUGAGAGUACCCUAGGAACCAUGCCGUACGACUCCUUCCAGUCGCCCCAAAGCAGGGCAACAGCGUGUUGCUUCGCCCGCCAAGCCUUCGAAUACUUCACACGGUACCCACUAAAGAUGAAGAUGGACUCCACGAGUGAUGGCACCGAUGUCUCGCUGUCUUUACGGAUAAUGCCUAGGAUACGCCGUCCAAGGUACUUUGCUGUGCACUGUACAUGCUCUCGCUUCGGCUGUGACGACCGACAAGUAUGCGGUUGCACAACAUUUGAAAUUCUCCAUUGUCCGGUGCUUGAUAUUAGCCGAGACCAUACACGCCAAUGGCAUCCUUGCUUGCACAUCACAUUGUAUCUUAAGUUCUUGUCAGAGUGAACUACGCUAAAAGGUCUAUGUAACCUCACCGCGUAGUCAGCCAAGAAAAACUUCAGCUCCUCAAGACUAUUGAACUUCAUCCCCUUCUUAAUCACUGGACUCUCACCAAUGGACGUCCCUUCGGCAUUCACCAUACUAGAUUCACAUAUUGCUUUGUGAACCAUACUUAUGUCCUUAUCAUUGGGAACGGAUGGCAGUUCGACAUCACGUUCUUUUAACAUCCGCAACUCACACUGGGUGUAAGAAAAACAAUCGUCCAUACGACGAAUGCCUUCUACAUCAUGUACGGUUGCGGUGUCAAAUUGCAGUCCAUCCUCUUCAUUUUCUACCCCGACGUUCUCAUAUUCAUGCCCACCACUCUCAAAUAGUGAUUCCUCCUCUACCUCCUCACCUACUACCCCAUCUUCCUCCAAUUCACAAUCUUCGGAACCCAUAGAGACAUUAUCAACAUCUAUAUUUGCUUCAUCCCUCUCAAAAAUGUUAUUGGGAAAAUCAUCAUUGGCAAUAGCCAAGUCAAAAUCACGUUCUGUUUCACCUAACACGUGAUGCAACAUUUCUGACUCCUGGGUACCAUUAUGGUUCACUACCGUCACUUCCUCCCUCAUGACAACAUUUGGGCCAGGCAUACGAACAAUUUCAACUAUAACCUCCAAACAUGCAACAUUAGCUUCGUGCACAACAUCCUUAUAGUGCUUCCAAUUCGCAUCGGAUGCUAACUUCAUGAGAACAUAAUGAGCUCUAGCUUUCCCACAAUCAAAACGACCUCUCAAACUGAUCUCAUCCACUCUACAUCCAUACUUCGUCAUUACACGGUCAACUAAAUCACUAAAACUUGGAGGACCAUCAAAUAUUUCAAUUGACUCAUUCAUAUUCUCUAACUCCCCAUUUUGUUUCACAACACCACCAUGGAAAAAUCGAACUAAACGAUCCAUCUACAAAAUACAAACAUUUCACCAUGUCAUAUACACUACACAUUGCACAUAUUCGACAUAUCAACUACACACAUUACAUAUAUUGGACAAAUUGCAAACAAAAAAUACACAUAUACAUUGCACUAUACGAUUCAAUGAAUAUAUCCUUAAAAAAAAUACACAUAUACAUUGCACUAUACGAUUCAAUGAAUAUAUCCUUAAAUCAAUAAGUUCUACACGUCAAUAUCGCGGGCAGAGACUCAAUUGCGUAUGAACUACGUAUCAUCUAACACAAAACACCAUUGCAUUUCAUUGAAAUUUCAAAUCACUAACCUAACCCUAAGUCACCUAAAUAUCCUCCGAUCUACCAAAUGCAACGGUAAAACACGAGAAUAAGUAGGGGAAUACCUUCCACACGAAGCAGGGAUCGAUUCCCACUACUUUCCCCCACCGAAAACGCUGGAUUUUGGGUGGAUUUGGGGGUGGGGCGGCGGGGGGCGGCGCUGGAGCUUCGGGCUCGGGCGUUUCUGGAGAAGGAAGAAAGGAGGGAGGGAGGAGGAAGGGAGCCGGCGCGCGGUCUAAGUGUUGGCCCUGCCGCGCCAGGUGGGCUGGCGCGGCGAACGCCCGCCCACGUCAGCGCCCGCCUGGCGCCGCGGCUCGCCGUGCCAGCGUGGCAGGGGGCUGCCGCGCCAGUGCAUGUGGCGCGGCAGCAUGUUCCUGCCGCGCCAGGCGGUCUGGCGCGGCCAAAAGGGUUAGGCCGCGCAAAUAAAACCCCGCUGAGGUUAUUUUUAAAAAUAAAGAAAAAAAAGGGUUAAAAAUAAAAAAAAGUUCUGGGAUGGAGGAGCUGCUGUACGCUGGAGUAGAUUUUCACUCUACCUCUUUUUCCGCGUCCAUCUCCUCUGCACAGCUCCUGUGUUGAUGAAAGGAAAAAUAUAGUUUAUAGUUGGUAGGUCCCAUCUUGGAAUUCUAGGAAGCUACUGAACGACAGUUUAAUUAUCCAUACGGUAAUGUCCAUUUCAUGAUUACUGAACGACAGUUUAAUUAGUACGAAACUUGAAGUAUUUAUUUCCUUUCAAAAAAGAGAAAGAAACAAAGAAACUCAAAGCAUUGGCUAUUUGGCUCAUGGUAUACCUCCGCGAUCACACCACAUGCUACUCCCAUGUAGCAACUUAACUUUGAUGCAGGUACUAAAUUUCUGCUUUGAAAUAAGUUUCUUAUGUUUUUCGAUUAUAUAUCUCAUUGUUUCCGUUUUCCAAAUUCAUGCAAGAAAGCGUUAGUGCACCAAGCCACAUGUGCUCAAACAAAUUCACCUUUCCUCGGCACCUCCAUAUAGGCCUCCGUUCCUUCCACUACAGAGGCGACUACCUCAGGUUCGUGGCCCUCCCUCACACAUGCUUUGGGGACCUCUACAUCUCCUUCCCGAGGCCGGGAGUUGGCUGGCGGUUGCACAACUGGAUUGAUGCGCUCCCAAAUCUCUCCAACCUCACCGUCCUCACCGUAUGCAGCAAUGCUCUCCGGGUUUGUGCCUAUCUUCACUCCAUCAGAUUCCAUUUUUGGUUGUGUCAUCCCAAUGCCACCAACUGACAAAGUUUAAUUUCUUGUUACUUUUGCUCUGUAGAUUGUGUCUAUCCUGCAUUCCAGGGAAAGUCUCCAGCCCAAGUUGGCUAACUUGAGCAACCUGCAGAAUUUGAGAGAGCUGCAGCUGCUCAUGUAUGCAAUGGGGACCGUCAUGCUCUCCGACAUUUAUGGAUUCCUCAGGAUCUGCGGCUGUUCUCAGCUGAGGAAGCUCUUUGUUGAGGUCACUACUUGUUACACGCUUGUGAAAUGCAGUACUAGCUAGUAACUCUGUCGUCUUAUUUGUGUUGUGUGCAUAUUCCCUUCUAUGUUUCUGAAUGAUUACAUUUGUGAUUUGUGCUCUCAGCUCCCAAAAUUCAGAAUGGAUUCCUUCAUGGAUGCUGUCAGUGACUUGGCCGAAGAGCCCAUGGAGGGGUUCGAAAACCUUGUGACGGCAAAGAUAACCAACUUCAAGUGGCAGUGCAAUGAGAUUGAGCUGGUGCACUUUUUAUUCAGGAAGGACAGCUCUCUCCAGAAGCUGAUACUAGUUGCUCCCCCGGGGACACAUCCAGAAAGGGAUCAGUCAGGUAAUCCCUUUUUCCGAGACACAAAGCUGCUGCGUAUGGAAAAAGCUCCGUCAAAUGCCCAGGUAACAAUGCUCCGUGCGCAUCUUGGUGCUAAAAUCCAAGCAUUUCAUCGAGAUGUCAAUCUUCUGGCUCUGUGUCUUGAGAUACUGAGUGCGUGUUUGGAUGCAGGGUGCUAAAGUUUAGCAUCCGUCACAUCGGAUGUUUGGAUGCUAAUUAGAAGUAUUAAAUAUAGGCUAAUUACAAAACUAAUUGCACAGAUGGAGUCUAAUUCGCGAGAUGAAUCUAUUAAACCUAAUUAGUCCAUGAUUUGACAAUGUGGUGCUACAGUAACUGUUUGCUAAUGAUGGAUUAAUUAGGCUUAAUAGAUUCGUCUCGCGAAUUAGACUCCAUCUGUGCAAUUAGUUUUGUAAUUAGCUCAUGUUUAAUUCUUCUAAUUAGCAUCCGAAUAUCCGAUAUGACAUUGCUAAAGUUUAGCACGUAGUAUCCAAACACCCCUGGAGUGUUGGACAUAUACUGGGCAAGCUUAAUCGGGAAUGUGUGUGGAAAUAAAUGCUGGGUCUGCAUUAUGUAAUUUCCUCCCUUGGUUGUACUGCAGCAAAGCUAUCCAUUGCACAUAAAUAACAGUUUCAUAUGGCGAUCCCAAUAUCGGCCUCUCUUUUUGUUUCUUAACAUAGAGUAUCUGCUGCUUAACCAUUUUCUUGUGCUAUCAAUGUGUUUGAUAUGUUUGUGAAUCAUCAUAUAUCAGUCUGUUCGCUUUAGCUUAUCAACCGACUUAUCAGCCACCAAAUAGUAUUUUUCUCUCACAACAAAUCAGCCAUUUCAGCUUUCAGCCGGCUUAUAAGUUCAGCCGAACAGGCUCUAUAUUAUUGGGGUGAGCUCUGAGAUAUUAAUGAACAUCAUCAUAUAAACCUGUGUUAAUAAAGGGUUAAUGCAAUAAUAUCAGAUUCAGACUCCCUAAGAACAGAACUUGUUUGGCUUCAACUUUCACCAUAGUGACAGGAACUGACGUUUGUUGCUACAUCGAGUGGAUUACAACGUUCGUUAAUACAUUAGAUGAAUUUGGUACAUUCUAUUGCCAUUUGCCAGGUUGUUUAGGAACGUGCGUAGUACUUGGUAACUUGUGUUGUCUUGCCCUCAGUUUACUUGGUAAUUAGUACCUGGGCUGGGCUGAACUUCAUAUGUGAUUGCCAUGACUGGUCUUUAUUCUUUUGGUUUCUUGACAUAGAGGACGUGUAUGCUUAGACAUUUUUCUGGAGUUAGCAAUACAUUAUUUCAGAUACUAGUGAAAUAUUAUCAUAUUGGUAUGGAGAUGCUAGUGAAAUAUCGCAUCAACUUAUGCAAAUAAAAGCUGUUCAUGUAACAAUAUCAGAUGUAGUGUUCUCAGGAAGACAGGAAUAUAACCAUUUCACUUUGUCGUUGACCAACGUAUCAAGAACUGAAUUUGAAUCUUGCAUUGGUUGACUUUUUUUUGUUUGCAAAUUAUUUGAAUUUUUAGUGUUGCAGUACCAGAUGUUGGUGAUCGUGUCACUUAUGAGCGAGGAUUGCCGCUAUUUUCUCUCAAUCUGAAAACAGCAUAUGAACUUACUUGCAUUCCAGGAAUACAAACAUUGUUUGGUACAGUUACCAUGUUGAGAUGUACAAGCAACAAACCUGGAAAAAUACAUUAGACGAGUUCCCUGGUGUUCAAUUUUCUUUAUCUGAUCAUCCCUUUCAGUAGUACAAGGAAAAAUGCGAUCCUACGUAAGGUGGGAUAUGGGGAAGGGAAUUCCUAGAUAGCGUUAGAUAGCCUUACCCUUACAAAAUUCUGCAAAGAGGCUGGUUCGAACCCCGAAACUCCGGGUCACAAGUUGAGAGUUUUACCACUGCACCAGGUCCACCCUUCUUCUCGCAUCCUCUAACUGGAUAUCAAAUAUUCAGAUACCGUAGCACUUACGAAAGAAUUCUCAUUGACUUUGUUUAUCUGUUACUUAUGUUUCUACCUUACCAAACGGUGAAUUUCUUUAAGGAAUCAGCACUGUCAUGGAUAUCAUCGAUUUUGUUCUGUGUAAUUCAGUGGACUGAAUUCAGUGCCAUAUGAGGCUAUAUUUCUUUCCAUCAUAAUAUGGUUAAUUUUAUACAGCAUCAUGGUCAAAAACUCUUUCAGUGUUGUGAGCAUUAUAUUGUUUCCCUCCUUGUUAAGUAUGAGAUUUAUGCCUCGCCAUUUCAAGAAGCUGGGUGUAGUACAGCGCACUGCUUUGGAAAAUCUAUCUUCAUAUGAGCUUCUGACUAGUAAGGCUGCAGUAUGCCUUUCUCUAAAAGAAAGGCUGCAGUCUGCCUGAUUAAAUGGAAGUGAUUUACGCGCUCAAAGAGGCGGCAACUAGCAAUGGGCAAUGGCGCUCGGAAUCGGAAGGAGGCGGCGGCGCGGGCGCCAGAGCGAAGAGGUGGCGGGUGGACGGUCAGGGGGCAGCGCAAAGAGGCGAUGGUAGGAACGGAGGCGGUUCUGGUGGACCGCAUCUCGGCGCUGCCGGACGACGUGCAACGGCGCAUCUUGACCCGCCUCCCGCUCAAGGACGUCGUCCUCUCAGCGGCGCUCGCGCAGGGGUGGCGCGACCUCUGGAAGAGCCGGUGGGCGGAGCCGACCUCCUGUCACGACAUCCACCUCCUCCCCGGCGACAACUCGAGGAAGGCGCUCGGCUCGCUGGAGAGUGCCCCGCGCCGCCGCCUCGACCGCUUCUCCUUCGUCUCCGACAACGAGAAGCUCAGGCAACCGUACCUCAAGCGCUUCCUCGCGUACGCUGCCGAGUGCCGCGUCGAGGACCUCCACGUCGAGGUGCGUCGGAGCCUGGUCUUCCACCUGCCGCUGUCGAGCCCCCUCCUCGCGCACCUCUCCCUCCGCAACAUCGACAUGUACCACAUGUACUCCAAGGGCGCCCAGCCUUUCUACGCUCUCGAGUCCAUCCACCUCCACUCCGUCAACAUCGGUGUGAAAUUCAGCAAGGUCAUGGCGCUCUGCCACCGCCUCCACACUCUCGAUCUGCGCCGCUGCAACCACAUACUGUAUGGUGCCGAAGCCUGCACCCCACUCGACCUGAGGAGAAUCACCGUCGCGGAGUGCAAUUACGGGGAGGUCAAGCUAGAUGUUGUGCCGGUGCCUAGCCUCUGUUCUUUCCGCUACAGCAGCAGAUUUCUCGGUUCGCUCUUCGUCCUUCCGAAGGACGCCACGCUCACAGACCUUUACAUUUGCUUUUCUGACCAUGAGCCAAUAUUCCAACAAAUAUUGGCUCUCCCGGAUGUUCUGUCUGGCCUCAGUGUACUCACCAUAUCUAGCAAUGCCCUUAAGGUAUGUUCUUUGGAUGGUAACUCAAAAGGUUGAUUUGUUUCAGAAAAGAAAACAUAGUGUCACACCCUGAAAUUUUUGGAUUUGAUUGAAAAGAAUAAUUAAAUAAUAGUUUUUUCAUAAUUUUAAAAUUUUUCCAACAUUUACUUUCUUGAUAGGAAAUUUAGUAUAGAAAAACAGUUGAUUAUUUUCUAAAUUAAAUAAGGUUGUUCUGUGUGUGUUGCAUUCAUGCCAAUACAUUUUGAUAUUUCAUGAGUGCAAAUGUUUUAAAAACGCGUUUAGAUAACGAUUAGGUUCUUCUGAGAAUUUUUCAGAAUUUCUUGGAAUUUAUUCUCAUUUUUCCUAGAGCUAAAUCUUUUUAUUAGAAGGCUCUAAAAUCUUUUCUCAUGAGCUUCAAGUAUUUUAUUUGGGCUCCCCGUUUUCCAAAUCAAUCUCCAGGAAAUUUUUUGAAUUUUUUUCAGAGUAUUUUUCGUGAUUUAAUUAUGAUUUCAGGAUUUUUUUGGAAUUAUUUUUGAAUCUGAAAUUAAUUCCCAAAAUUAGAAAAAAGGAAAUUAAAACCGGACUCCAACCUAGCCUAUAAACACUUUCCGGUUCCAACACCACAAACCCCACCUCGUUUCGACCCCACCUCGUUUCGACGGUGAACAUAUGCAUUUGUUAAACUCCGGCAAUUCUGCGAAAUCGUAAGUCUUCGGCCGAAGGUGAUAUUCGUAUUGUUGUUCUCAUUCCAUUUAGCGCGAGUUUGAACUCUAUCCCCGGCAAUCCCUUUUCUCUCUUUUUCCUGUUCCUGUUCAUCGCCGGCCAUGGCUUUGGCCCUUGUCGCUGCCUCCUGGGCGCCAGCACCCGGCUCGCCGCCUCCUGGCCCUGCUGUACUCGAUCUGUAUCGUCGGUUCCUUCCCUUCCUUUUUUUUACACAUGCGCUCAGGUAGGGAGCCCGGGCAGGUGCCCAGGCUCGUCGAGCCUUGAGUCCGCCCCUACGUUAGUUUGCUCAUAUAUUUAAUUAUGCCACACGCCCCGUAACAAACACGGACGCUGUCGCACAAGGUCGUUUCCUUUCUUUCCUUUUUCUAGCCGCCACCAUAACAAACCCGUCGCCACCAUCGCACAUGCACACGCCCGAGACAAACCCGUCACUUGCUCCGUGCCGCCGUUGCUCGCCCUGCACCUUCGCUGACCUCCUCGCUGGAUAAUUGUUGACCAUCGGUAAGGACGCAUGCAAUCCAUUGGAGGGUGCCUUCGCUGACCUCCUCGCUGGAUAAUUGUCGCACAAGGACCAUCGCUGACCUGAAGCUUUCUCAUCACCUACUCCCUAAUCUCGCUACUAGACCGACGCCAAUCUGUUGUGAAGUUGAAUGCUCGGUCGUGAGCUGCACCGGAAGGUUGGAGGGUGCCGUGCGAGCGCCGGCGUUGCAGCUCAAGUGUGAGUUCUCGUUACCCUUUGUUAAACAUGUUCAUGUAGAUUAGAUCAUGAUUAGGCCUAAUCAGACAUGAUUAUACCCAAGAGGUUCUCCGAUAUGGCAUGUGUUAUGUUAAUUAAUCUGUUAAUCAUGUUCAUUAUGAUUAGAUCAUAAUUAGGUCUAAUUAGACAUGAUGUAGUGGGGAAUUAAGAUUGAACGAUAACUUGACUUCGUAGGCCAUGAUGUAGUGGGGAAUUUUGUUUUUUGAAAUAAUCUUCUUGUAAAAUGCGAAGAGAAAGGCAGUUGUAGUUCUAAUAUAAUUACUACUUCCUGUAAUCGUGUUUCUUUCAAAAAAAUAAUUUAUUGUGGGGAAUUGUCUCCUUGAACCUGUUGCUUUGCUUAUAACUCCUUUUUUAGCAAACUCGUUUUUCCAUUGUCAAUCAGUAUUAGCAGUUGUUUCCAUUGUCAAUCAGUAUUAGCAGUCAACAACUGCAAGUUAUUGUACGAUCCUGGUGAACUUUAAACCACUACAUUCAGCAUCCUAAAUCUCAGCGUCCAUCCAUGUCAGACGGUUCUGAGGUAAGCUAUCCACAAGCUUAACGCUCACUGAAUCAUAUUGAAGAACUGGUACUAAGUAAAUGAGUUUAUAUGUUAUCUCCUUUUUCCACCAAUAGUCAUCCUUGGAGCAGCCAUCCAUGGAGCUGACGCCCAUUAGUGACGAGGGUGGCUAUAGUAUGGAUAUAUUCCUGGAAGUAGAGGAAACUACUCCCAAGACGGAUUACUUGGAUGCCAAUAAAUACCAAGAGGGUUUGACACCUAACAAACCCAAAGAUGUUGAUAUGUCACAACAGGUGUUGAUUCCUAACGAAACCAACGAGUUAGAAGAUGCUUUCACGAUUCUGGAAGGUAGUUUAUGUUUUGUUCAUAUAUCAUGUUGCUCAUUUGAUAUAUUUUCACAACAUUUAUCAGGUGCAAUGAUCUUUAUCCUCAAAUUUUAUGAUUAUUUCAGGUUACGAAUGUACUGUCAAUGAUCAUGCCUUCAUUGAAGCUGCUAAGGCCCUGUUUGUUUCCGCUUAUAAGCGGCUUAUCGGUGGAAAUAAGUGAGAAUCCCGCCAAACGCUUUGCUUAUUUCCACCGAUUCUCGCUUAUGUGGUAAGCCGCUUCAGAAAUUUGAAUUACGAGAAGCGAAAAGCGAGAAACGAGAAAAUCUUUGCUUAGAUUAUAAUCCAAGCGUGGCUAGGAGAAGCGUAUACAAAUAGGGCCUAAAAAGAUCUCAGCUGAACCAGGUAGGGAAGAGCUUGUGCUCAUCGAUGAUGUCCUGGUGAAUAGGAAUCACGUGGAGUGCUUAUUUUGUUGAAAUGCAUACCUGUAUGACGUGAUAAUAACCCCGAGUACAAAUUUAUGGGAACAAAAAUCUUUUUUUAUAUUGAGAUAUUAUUCAUGGUUGAUUUUUUGCAGGUCAUAAAUGCGUAUAUCCACCUAUUGUGGACUCAACAUAAUAUGAUAAAUAGGCUAGGUGGUACGUGCUACCUAGAAAAUAAAAGUAUGACCGUGUUAAUGAAGGGGGAUGGUGAAGAAAAACGGAACAUGGAGGACAUGGAGUAUCCUCCUGUGGGCAUUCACAGGUUCCACGGUUGGCUGAAAGGGUAUUAUCGUACAUGCACCACGAUAUAGUAACUACUAUUUUCAACAUUACGAUAUAUACUUCAAUUAUCCAAUAUACGUUCCUCGACUGACAUUACAUUCUUACCAAUAAAUAUAAAAGAUACACACUGGUAUCUUGUUAUAGUGAAUGCGCGAAGGCGUAAGAUACAUGUGUUAGAUUCUUAUGGAACAUUGUUUGGGCGCAAAGACCUCGAAAAUAAUGUGAUUUUUUGCUAUCUCAGAUAUUUCUAUUUUUUUUGCAAACUGCACAUACUAAUUAACCAAUACAUGUACAAACAGUUGAAUGGAUUGCGGAUGCAGAUGGAAAACACAUUGCAAUGCACUGGCCUUAAAGAUCACGCUUGGCUGGACGUCAAUGUUGACGCCUGGGAUGCUGUGGAGGUCAUGGUUGACAGAAUACAGUUUGAUGGGUAUGUAUGAUAUUGCACACUGAUUUAAAAUACCAAUUCUACAAUCUCAUAUGUAUAUAUCUUACUUUUUUCUAUAUAAUAAUGAUUCUGUAGUGUCUCAUGUGGAUUAUUCAUGGUUGCCUUUAUAAAGUAUUGGACUGGGGACCAUCUGUGCGCUACCAUGGAUCAGGUACUUUAUUUAUAACUUUAACACAAGUAAUUAGUGAAUAUUUUUUACUAGCAUAUUUUCUAAAUUAACUGUGUUACUACUAAUGUACAGGAGAGUAUGGUGAAAUUUAGGACUAAAAUGGCAGCUACGUUACGAUCAACUAUAUUUAAUAAACGGUUAGGUAAACCAUUACUACGUAACGAGUAUGAAAACAUCGGAAGCCCGAGUGACUUUGCAGAAAUAAUAGAACCUUAAACCAAAGAAAAUCGAUACAGAGAUAGACUCAGAUAAGCAAGAUGUUCUUCUAUACUACAAGGACUGGCCCUUGAUGAGAGAUGAGUGAGCUGAGAUUUUUUAUGAUUAUAUUUUGACAAUCAAGGAUCCUGCGGAAUUGGAGUAAGCUCAGUACUUCAUCACUUUCGUUUACCAACUAAUAGUAUUGCAAUUUAUUAUGAUUUCUUAUGCAUUGUCCCUAUAUAUUGAUUUGAAGUAUGUUUUGGGUAAGAAGUGAUUUGCCCUAUAAGAGUGUGUAUAAAUUCGGUGAUCUCAAGGUGUUGUUGAAAUGAGGUUCGCCCAUGCCUGAACCAUUUUUCAACUUAGGUGUCUAAUUUCUUGCAUACCGAGAGGUUAAAGGGAUGAUAAGGUACAACAACAAGGUUGCAAAGCAUCACGUGGAUUUGCGAUUCUGUGUAAGUUAGCUUGUUUAUAAUAUACUAUGGAAUAUACUGCAUUCAUUGUCUAUCUAUAUUUAUUAAUUAUACAUAAAAUUGAUAAGUGGUACUGAUCAUGGCUAUAUAUCAUUCUGCUUCAGAAAAUAUUGGAGUUAACACGUCAUGAAAAAUAUCGUAAACAUCACAGUGGUAAAGAGUUGGGUAAUGUGAUCGGUGGAUGGGAAAUAAUAAAAUAUGACAUAAUAGGUUGCAGAUAUGUAAGUUCUUUUCAUGCGUUAUUUGUUCAUGACAUAUCCUUUGUGGUGCUGAUACUGAGUGCUUUGCAGUUUCUCUUGCCAUGGAAGCAUGUCAAUACCUACAUGCUUUAUGUACUCGACAUUAAACGGAAGAAACUUAUUGUGAUUGACACGAAACCCAUGCCAAAAUAUGCCAUGGAUGUGCCAUAUAAACAUUAUGCAAUACAGAUUAUAGGGUUUCACCUAAAAUUUUAUGAACGCAUUUAGACAGCUUAAACCUUAUUCAUGGGAGGAUGUUCACAAAUGGGAAUUUGAACGUGCGAAAGGGAUUGUGGAAGACACUGAUGAGCUCUGACACACCAGCAUUUUAGAGUGUCAAUAUCCUUUAUUUCUUAAAAUAUAUGUUUCUAUAUUUAUAUAGCUGACGAUUCAUUGUACCACUGAUUUUCAUAUGGAUGGCUUAUUCUACAGUACAUGGUAUAGUGGGAUAGUCCUCAAAACGUGCACAUCGAAAAAGUGAGUAAAUAUGCUUUGUCGUACGUUCCUUUGUGAUUUUACAAUAUACGAUAAAUCCCAUCACACGAGAGCUUAACUUGAAGUAAUCACUUAUCUUACGUACAUGAUGCUAUAACGAUGCGGCAUAACUUCUUCAUCGAUCUUCUGGCGCACGAAGCGAAUGCCUGGAGGACAAGACUACCAUGCAUUAUAAAACAUUUCCUUUGGCGCAUCAUAGGCAAAGAAAUAGGAUAGAUGGGGGUGGUAUUUGGAUGACUUGUAUUCGUACUUGUUCCACACGAUUAUUAUCCUGCUGAAUCCAAUCUUGGAUGAUAUAUUUAUUUCAUAUUUAUACAUGUUUUAUAUUUUUAUUAUCCCGUUGAAUCCAAUAUUUUGCAAUAUAAAAAUUUUGUUGCCCGUAGCAACGCACGGGCACGAUCCUAGUGUUUUAAAAACACGUUUAGAUAACGAUAAGAUUCUUCCGAAAAUUUUCAGAACUUUUUGGAAUUUAUUCUCAUUUUUUCUAGAGCUAAAUCUUUUUAUUAGAAGGCUCUAAAAUCUUUUCUCAUGAGCUCCAAGUAUUUUAUUUAGGCUCCACGUUUUCCAAAUCAUCUCCAGGAAUUUUUCUGAAUUUUUCAGAAUAUUUUUCGUGAUUUAAUUAUGAUUUUAGAAUUUUUCGGAAUUAUGUUCGAAUCCGAGAUUAAUUCCCAAAAUUAGAAAAAAUGAAAAUAAAACCGAACUCCAACCCGGCCUAUAAACACUUUUCGGUUCCAACACCGCAAACCCUACCUCGUCUCGACGCCAAACAUACGCAUCUGUUAAACUUCGGUAAUUCUGCGAAAUCGUAAGUCUUCGGCCGAAGGUGAUAUUCGUAUCGUCGUUCUCGUUCCAUUCAGCGCGAGUCUGAACUCUGUCCCCGGCGAUCCCUUUUUCUCUCUUUUUCCUGUUCCUGUUCACCACUGGCAAUGGCUUUGGCCCUGUGUCGCCGCCUCCUAGCCGCCAACGCCCGGCUCACCGCCUCCUGGCCCCGAGCCACGCCGUGCCCUCCACCCGCCGUGGCUCGGCCCCCUGCGCGCCGCCACUGCCGAGCGCCACCCCUCCGUGCCUCCUGCGCCGCGCGCCGCCCCCGCCGAGAAGCCUCGCCACCGCCUGGCACUGUCGCCCUGCCCCGGCCACCUCCUCCUACCGUCGCCCCCUGGCCCGGCCGCCGCCGCCUAUCACCCCUUCCCCCGGUCCCGGCCGCCGCCGCCGGCAAGAGUCCGACCGCCGGCCACACAAGCAGAUCGAACCGAGGUUGAAGAAGUUAAGGCCAACUUUGCAUUUUGGCCCUCGCGAAACUCUGUAAUUCUUACAGGUUUCCUUGUGUGUUGCGGCUCUUGCAUAAAAACCUCUGGAAACCUUAGAUUCUUCGCAACCUAGUCCAACCUGAGCCUCUUUUUCAGAUCUAACCCUGAGGUCCCAUCUAUUCUCCGUGACUGUUGACUGUGUCUCGGGAAUCUUUAUUGCUAGCCCCUGUUAUCUACGGUUAAUCACGAUUAGGUCCUUAGAGCCUUGUUUAAUCCACAGAUUUCACGUUUUAGCUCCGUUUAACCUCGUUCUUGUUGUGUUAGAUUCAUAUCAACUUAAAUUAUGCAUUAAAAACAAUGUUGAUCAUGUUCUCUGUUUUGUAAUUCAUUCAAAAUAUUAAUAUGAUUAAGUAAUUAUAUACUUGCUUUUCUAAUUAAAAUCUAAUUAGAGUUCAACCCUGCAUUGUCAUAACUAAUGUAAAUUAGUUAAUAUUAUUUAAAUAAUUCUUCCAAUUAAAAGCUAAUUAGGUUUAUACAUCGGUUAUCUUUAAGCAAAUGUUAAUAUGAUUAAUAUCAACGUGAAUGUGUUUCUAAUUGUAACUUGACUAGUUCAACACGACAUAUAAAGUUAUCGGUUAGAUUAGAUGUUAUUAAUUUUCCAAGGUUAAAUGUUUAAAUGGCAUAAUUUAUACAUCAAUAUUUAUAAAUAAAAUUUGACUAAGUUUUACAUCAUCUUUUCUAUGUAAAUAUAACUUGAUUAAUUCCAACUAAGGAUAUUUCUCUAAAAAUAUCUUUACAUUAUUUUUAUCAACUAAAAUAAAUGAAGAAUGGAGCCCUUGUAUUUUAUUUUAUAAUCCAAACCUCUCGAUAGUUGUACCUUUUCAACCUUAGUUCCUUGCGUUCGCGUGAUCCUAGAAUCGAGCCCUAUCCUUUAGUAUGUUCUUUUAAAGCUUUUUCUUUGAUUGGUGUAUUAUUCUUAGUUGUGCUUGUUUGUUUGCUUGUAUGUUUGUGCCGAUAAUUGCUUCGAGUAGAAGAAUUGUUAUUCGAAAGUUUUGAAGAUUAAGAGUUUCAAGAAGAGCUGAAGAGCAGUAAGAGCAACUUUUUAUUGGAGAAAGGCAAGUGUCCCUAACCAUCCUUCUAUCUAUGCUUAUUUUACAAGAAUACCAUGUAUUAAAUUGGAACAUGGAGCAACCACCUAGGAAAACAGUACAACCAUAAGACCAACAGACUCUGAUCUUGGCUAAUUAAUUAGAGACUCUAGUUUGUGAUAGUCCUACCGAAAGGGCAAGAGGAGCUCAUAGGUUGUGCGAUGGCUUGUCCAAUCAAGGGGUGUACGUUCCACUUGGGGGAGGGUUCAUACCCUUAUAAGGAAACCUUAGUGGGUUAUCACUUAUUAGUAAAUUUUUGUAAAAGCCUCGUAGCGUCCCUAUACAGUCGCACCUUGGUAGUGUGAUAAGUGCCUACUUUUGCACAGGAUGGUUGGGUCCAAAGUUCUUCUGAACUUUUACGCGACUUGUGAUGAAAGUGUACAACCUCUGUAGAGUGUAAAACUGAUAUAUCAGCGUGCUCACGGUCAAGAGCGAACUGGACCCUCACAUGAUUAAUAAACUUGAAGAUGGACUUAAAUCGUUAUUCUGGUUAUUUCUUGUGGCCUUGCUAUGUACCAACCAUAAGUGUACUCACCCUUGCUUACUACUGCUUAGAAGAAGUUGUGUGAAGUUUUCUGAAGAUGAUGCUGAGUCCUAGACGUACGCAGCCUCCAGUCGAUUGCCUGUGAAGUUUGGAGCCUCCGUUUCCAGGAUUAAUUAAGCUGUAUAUCUCUGAUAGACUCGUAAGUCAGUAUUUAUAUUCCUUUACGUCAUAUUGUUACUGUUAUUCACUGCUGAUGUCACUAUAUGUAUGAAACUAGAUCCUGGGUAGUAUUUGAUUUUAUUUUAAAACCAAGUGUGACACAUAGUUUGUUUACUAAUCAAUUAACCAUGCCCUUUAGAUCUUCUAUGGUAGAGCAACUCCCCAAUGGGCCAAUAAGAUGAGCAUCUUGCAGAGUUUGAGAGAGCUACAGCUGCUCAUGCUUGGAAUGGAGAUGGACAACCUAGCUAACAUUUACCAAUUCCUCAAGGCUUGCCGCUGUUCUAAUCUUGAGAGGCUCUUUAUUGUGCAGGUUAGCAUUUUUUACACCUUUCUGAAUCACUUCGCUUAGUAGCCUCUCUUGUCAUUUUAUUGAAUCUGCAUCUGCAUUCUUAUUUGUUGAGAUGCUUCUGCAUGAUUGCGGUUAAUCUUUGCAGCUCCCGGCUACCAGUGAUGUGCCCUUGGAGGAUUUAGUUGAAGAGGUGAGGGUAGAACUACCAGAGGAUGGCUUAGUCAACCUUAGAAUGGUAAAGGUCAUGAACUUCAAUUGGCGCCGCUUUGAGGUGCAGCUAGUGAGUCUUUUGUUGAGGAAGGCUACCUCCCUACAUAAAAUGCUGCUAGUAUCUCCCAACGUUGACCCGCUGCAUGUGCCUGGUGUACAAGAAGCUGACCUUUCUCUUCUCAAAGAAGCCUUGGCCCGUGGACGCAUUAUUGUCAGCGAGUCUGACGAUCCAGCAACUCAACCAUUUCAUUCGGAGGUCUUUAUCGAUGUUUAACUUUUUGUGCCGAUCGAUUUGUGAUCCUAUAGAUCAUAAGAUCCGAGCUGUAUAUGUUUGUCUGUAGUUUAUUGACAAUGUAUGAAGGAAUGGCAAUAUCUCUGCAACUUCUUUUCUUCAAUUUUACUGUUCGUCAAGUAAUCUAAAUGCAUGGUAUUCCAGCGUACGCUUACCACUUUCAUUUGACGAUUCAAUAUGAGGGUGAAUUCUAUGUAGCUAUAUAUAAGGAACAGUGACAUGAUGCCAGAUUUUGCCAGUUGCCUUCUUUUUGGUUUGCUAGAAUCAGAUCAGAUUCACUACUUCCGCCUGGACAUCGGGGAGGUAGUACUUUGUUAUUUUAUAUGUAGUGCAGUGCUCAUAUUUGUAUUUCUAGAUCGAGAAUUCAGUCAGCCGUAUUUCUAGACGUAGAGUUGACAUAGUUCCUUUAUAUCUAUUUUAUUUUGUGAGGGGUAGUCCUUGUUGAGUAACAAAAUAUGGUUGCACUAUACUACUAUGAAUACAUCGUACCGGUAUACCCUGUAGUUUUUUAGCAAAAACAGCACUGGAAACCCCACUGUGGAGCUGAGGUACCUGGUAGAGAUGGACAUCAAUGCACCAUUCAUCAUUUCAAGUAUUGCAAAAUUGAAUUGUCAAGUCAUAAGCACUGACAGAAAAGGUCAUAAAUCUAUCAAAAUUGUGAUGAUACACUUUACAAACAGGGUUUCAGUGCUUGCAACAAACUUUUGCAGUGAGCGAGAAAAUCAUACAGGUUCCAGUCUACAGAAACUCUAGAUCUGACUCUUGGUGUUCCAGGAUGAUUGUCGCCAGCGAUCGUCGGUACGCUGCUGAUCUUGCAUUCCUGACAAGGACACAGAUCUCUCUGCUUUGCAAGUUUUUAUGCGCCCAUUGCUGUCGCCUCAGCACUGCAAGAAGCUUCGCCUCGCAGAAUGCAACCGCAACAGCAUCUUGCCCAUUACUGCAAUAAUAAGUGAAUUUUAGCACAGUUUGGAGCUGCUAUACAUUACGGUAACAGAAUGAAUCAAUGGGAAGGGAGAUCGUGUUACCUUCCAUGGACGAAACCAGUAGUGACAAAGCCUAUUGGCCACCUGAAUGCAUCCCGUGCGGCAUCAUCUUUGGGCAAUUGAAGGUUGCCAGUGCUAGAGUCGAACCAAGAGAAAUAGGAACUAACAUGGGACUGAGGGAGCUGGAGUUCCCAUUUUUCUACACAUUCUUCCUCUUCUUCCUCUGAUCUAUUCCAUGCACGAAAUGAGAUUAGUUUCUCCAACAAUUUUUAUUUUUUAUUUCUUAUUACCACCUAAGAAAGAAUACUGCAAGACAAGAUUAGAGAAGAUGUAUUUAACAAACACUCAAAUCAUCCAUGUUGUGUUAAAAUGCCAAAGUAUCCUGAAGAUCGCUAAAAGAUUUCAGUUACAUGUGAAGUUGUGAACUAAAAAUGCAUUUACAUUCCAAAAAGGACCAAUACACUCGUGACAUCAGCAAAGAAAUGAUCUUAACAGAGCUCUGACAAGAUAUAUUGAAAGGACACAUGGGAUACUGACCUGAUUUUCCAAGCUGGAAGAUCUGAAGGUAAUGGGGCACAAACAACAGCACCCUCUUCAAAAGAACCUUCCUUGAAAGCUCGGAUCAGAACUCUUGUAAGGCAUACCGAACAUGUCAUUUUGAUGGUGUCAUCAGAAGUUAAGUAAGGUUUGUCAGCAUCUGUUUCCAUGCCAGAUGACAAACUCAGAUAUUUCCUAUCAAAUUCUUUCACAUAUUGUCUCAACAUUUGGAUGGUUCUUGGCACAUGAAGUUGCAAGGAUGCAAUGUUUGCUUGUGAUGGUUCUACAUCUCCAGAUUUGGAAUUUACGGACAAACUUUUGGGUAAUACAAUAUUAGCCCGCACUAAGUCAUCUACUUCAAGACCACUCAAUAUGCCAUCAUCUUUAUGAAAACAAGCCAUGAUACAGUGCCAUAAAGGUGGCAUAGGAACUGUUGGAGGUCUCUUGGCAGCAGGGCGGCACUCAACUGCUUUAUCAAAAACAGCAGCUUCUUUGGACAUAUAUGAUGCAUAUGCUUUGCUGUCUGGAUAAUCAUAGGGAAAGCAUGGCAUCCUGAACUGCAUAAAAGAUAUGUCAGUACAUUAGUAGCAUUAAAGAUAAUAUAAAAAAUAAUGCUGCUACACCAACGUCCGCUCCUUGAAGAACAAAUUUCACUAUCUUACUGCCUCUGUUCAACAAAAGGUAAGGCAUCACCUUGUUCCCGUUGUAUUUCAUAACUUUGUCGCUUAAGUUCAACAAAAGCGAUUAUAGUCUGACAAAUUUGAGGCUUCAUCAAUAUUUUACCAUGCCGCUAAUUCAAGAAAAGCAGCGACAAUUGGAAGCGUGGUAGAGCGUCUCAUAAUUAGCCCAUUCUAUAACACAUACAAUACCUUUGUUGCGAUCCACCGUCUCUCUCUUAGGCCAAUUACGUGUGCACCAUGAGAUACUAGAAAAAGCCAGAAAGGUUUCACCCAACUCAAAGGUAAAAUGAUAGACCACCUGUAUAUUCAUUGAACGUGGACAAUAAGACAAUCUCGUUAACAGGACGACAGGACAAAAGAAUAUAAAUCACAAAUUCACCAUUUUAGAAAGAUUAGUGCACCAACUCACUAGACAAACCACAACAGCACAUUAUUAAGAACGCAAGACAGACAAGUCAUGAUAUUUUCAACCAAUCUAAAUAAAAGCCCCCAUAAACAAUGAUGAUAAUAGAUCUUGAAUCAUAUUUCUUAUAAGAAGCAAAUCCGCCAAUAACUUAAAUCUGAAACAACCAUGAGAUAGAUUCAGGUGUAACUAUAAGAGGGCAAACUCAUAAUCAGGCCACAAACUUGAUGCAACCAUGCAAAUGCCCCUUUACUUUAUCAUGGAACAAUAUUAAAGCUACCAUAGAAGUCAACGAUUUAUUCACAUGCUAUUGCAAGCAGGACACCUGAUGUGACAUCUUCGAGGAUGAAAGAUAGAUCUUACCCUAGAGAGGGCAUACCCUUUUUGGCAUGUUUCAGGAGAACAACUGGGCAGGAUCGACUGAAGCUAUCCUUCUCUUGUGUUGUUUGUCCUUGAUCAUUUCCAGAAUCCAGGCAGAAAAAUUUUAUGCGCUCAUGUUGCUUCUCCAUACAAAGAACCUCCUCUGCCACAGGAGGAUUUAUGCUUUGGCUGGAGUCCCACAGUUCUCUACAGUCAGAAAGGAAUAUAUCAUGCUUUCCAGGUUGCAUCCACAUCGAUGACAACAUAUUUCCAACCUCUGAUGGCGCCUCAUCAGCAUUUGGAACUACAUCUUCCUCCAAGCCUUCGUUCUCCUUGUCAAGUGAGACUAAUUUAGAAGAAACUGUUCCCUGGACUGACACUUCCCUGGGGUCAUGAACUAUCAUGGAUAGGAUAGCACCAGGCUGAAGAAUCUCAGCAUGAUCAAUAAUGGAUGCUUCCAAAAGAUGAGGGACAGUAGAGGAAUCCGGGGGAGUAUCAGUUGAUGUGGACUUAUGACUUGUAUCUGGUACCAUGUUAAUUUUGCUUGCUCUGCAUUUGUUAAAAAACAUAAAUAGCAAGCCUUGACAUCAUUUUCCCCCAGUGAUAAAAGGCACUUACUUGAUUGGAUGCAACAUCUUUUUAAGAGAUUGCAUAGCCUUGCAUCCCAUGACUUCCAGCCUUCCAAUUUUUCCCUCUAAUGAGCAACAUUUGAUCACACUACCAGAAUCUUGAAUCUGCAGUGUAAGGCAAGCAAAGUAAGAAUGGUAUUACAACAAGGAAGAAAUGUAUUAGCAGCAGUAAGGAUUACAUAUCACAAGACAAAUUAUGCUACCAAUUAAUAUCUUAAUUUCCCCUUUCAGAUCAUAAAAGCAGCAAUUUUCAAAACGCCUAGAUAUUGAGCAGGUGGAUGUUCCUUAUUAUUAUUAGGACAUAAAAGAUGGUAAACACUACCACAGCAACCAUGGAAAACAAAAUAACUAGUAUUUUCUGAUCCAAGGACAGCACUCAACUAAUGUGUAUGUUCAGAAAGGCAAGCAAUAAAAAGAAAAGGGAACAAGGUUUUCUUUCGUUGUUCCUCCUAAACAUGAAUGAUGAUGCAUCCUAGUGUUCUCUUUGAGUAGAACACACUUAAUCUGAAUAGGAGGUACAAAUACAAUUUUACUUGGAUUCGUAUAAUAAAUAAGAUAGAGGAAGUACCUGUUUCUCACAUGCAAAUCUUAUUGCGCUAAGCCCUUCGUCAAGUGCAACAGGAUGGAUCCAUAUCCACAAUUGGCGUCGCAAGGAACUUCUGCUUUUUUCAUCAAAGCUGUGAGCAGUGGACAGAUCUCCUUCAGUCUCUGAUUUGUCAUUUUCUCUUGAGAAUGGGCGCCACAUGUAUGUUACUGGUCCAAUAAUUUGAGAACGAGGACUCCCAACACCACAAAGCUGGAAAGAAGAAUUAAGUCAUGGUUGUCACUCCAAACACUUCCAACCAUACUGUCUGCGGUGAACAUGUAAAUACCAUAGCAUUCUCAUAGCAAACACCUCGCAUAACUUGAUCUUGUAGAUGCUUCAACUCAGGUGUUUUGUCUACAGGAGAAGGGUGCAGAACCAUUCUGAGAAUGGAUAACAGGGAGUCCUGGAAAAGUGAGCCAGCACACCCAAUAAGAUUGUUGAAUUAUUAGAAGAUGAAAAACACUGAUAAUGGCUAGCUGGAAUGGGGAAGAAUUUUAUAAGCAAUCAAGGGACAAAGGACGGGAACAGAACCUCAGGACCAUCAAGCUCAACUGGAAUGAAGUAGCUAGCAUCAUGGACAAUCGUGCCAUUCUUCAGCCGCUUGAGAACACUCCUUGAACCCCUCCCUCUGCACAAUGGCAUGUUCAACCAUGUUACUCAUUUGAAUUCACAUAUAUGUCAAUCCUCGGGCAAAAAAGUUUAAAUUACACCAACAUCUCUACAUAUGACACUGUACAAAUCAGAAAGGUGAAACUACUUAUAAAGGAUUUCUCCUCUCCAAUUAACAAAUGCAGCACCGGAAGGUACCAGAUGGGUCAUCUCACAAUAUACUUGCGUUUCCGACUGGUCAAGUUUCGUCUCUGAAACACCGAAAUGGUCCCACAGCCUCUACUAUAUUUGUCAAUUAUCACUAAAUAUAUGUAGCAGUCUAGGAUUUUCACCAUUAAAUUACUAUUUGUUUUAGCUUUUCUAGAUACAUAGCUUUUGAUGUGUAUAUAGAAAAGUCAAAAAGAAUAGUAAUUUGGGUGCAUCAAAAGCUAUGUAUAUAGAAAAGCCAAAAUGAAUAAUAAUUUGGGACGAAGGGAGUAUUUCAGAAAUGACCCACUUGCAACGUGCAGUAGAAUUUAGCGAGCAAACAACUCAAAUACUGGUUCUGAGAUUCUAGCGCACUGAACAAAAAUCCUCCCUUUCCCCUCACAACACAUCGCCAUUGCUCACCUCCCCUGGGCGCCGACGGGCAAGACAAAUCCCCACCGCCUCUCCAUGGCAAACCUCUUGGCGUGCCACAGGUGCGUGCGCAGCCGCCGCGCGCCGUCGCCGGCGACGGAGAACCCCUCCGCGGGGUUGCCUGCGAGCUCCCGCCGCCGCCUCACCCUCCUCGAUUGUUUCCGUGGCGCGGAGCUCCCCUCCCCCGCGGGACCCACCUCUCCGGUCCCGGCUGCGUCGGCUCCGCUCCAGCGGCGGCGGCGCUUGCUGGGGAGGUGCCCCGUGGUGCGGCGGCGCUCGGAGCGUGGCUGCUUCCGGGAGCGGCCGCCGCCAUCGUCGAGGCGGGAUGAGAUUGCGGCGUGGAGGGAGCGGAGCUCUCCGGCGCGAGCCGAGGCGAAGCGCCGCACCUCGAGCUGCCGCGGCGGCGGCGGGACGCCGGCCAUUGGGCGGGAGGGUUUGCGAGGGCUUAGUGGUGCUCUUUUGCGGUUAGACCUCUAACAUAUUCAUGUACAGUACCUCGUUGUAUUCGGCCUGCAACGAAAGCCCGAUAGAUGGGCCGAAUACUGGGCCUUGCAGCACCGUCCAUAGGCCCACCUCCCUGAAUGGCCUACUUCAAUAGCCCAGCUCUUUUCCUUCGGCUUUUUUUUUUAGAGCAAAUCUCUUUUCCUUUAGCUGCGCGGCGGAUCGGCGGGUCAGCCAGCUUUCAGCCCCCAGAAGCUGAAAGCCCAAAAAAACAGCUAGUUUUUUAUGGGCCAGAAGCUAUGGAAAGCUACGUUUCAAUGGAAAGCUAGAAAGGAGGAAAAAAUGAGCUUUCGUGAGCUUUCGGACCUAAAUUACCCGCCUGCUAUCGGUAAAGGGCCCGAAGCGUUACGUUUCUCUUUUUUUCCCGUCCGACUCCUUCUCCCCCGAACUAUAGAUUUCCAUGCAGCCCGCAGCCCAAGAGCCCGGCACGGAGCACGUUUUUUUACCCCGUACCUAACCCGGCCCGGCCCGUAAUUUUUCGGACUCGGGCUGGCCCGGCCCGCAGCAUCGUGCCGGGCGUGGGCCGUAUCCUCGGCCCGACGGGCGGCACGGCCCGGCACGAAAAAGAUUACCGGCCCGUUGCCGGCCCGUCAAACAGCAGCGGCCCAGCAGGCCGGCGGCCCAGCAACGGUCGGAAGGGGGGGCGUAUAUAAGCCGUCGCGGCCGGCGACGCCCCCCCUUCGCAAACCCUAACCCCAUUUCCCCUCCGCCCGCCGCCUCCUCGCCUCCUCGUCUCCUCCGCUCCGCGCCUGCGCUCGCGCUCCAGCCUCCAGGCUCCUCGCGACCUCGCCUCCUCAGCUCCUCCUGUCCCGGCGAGUCGGCGACGGCCGACGGCGACUGGCGCGCCACCUCCUCGCCUCGACUCCUCCCGUCCUCCGCUCCCGCCUCCCGGCUCCCGGCUCACCUCCUGACCGCCUGGCGCCUGCCUGCCUCCCUGGUGCCUUCUGCCUUGCCGGCUUGCCACCGGCACCGGCGCAUCGCCUCCUCGCCUCGACUCCUCCGUCCCGCCUCCCUGGAUCUGGAUCUACAUCGAGAUCCUCCUGAUCCUUAGAUCUAGAUCCUCCGGAUCCUUAGAUCUAGAUCCUCCUGAUCCUCUUCUUGUUCUCCUGAUCUUGUUCCUGUCGUCCUCUCUAGCCCGGGCUGAGCCGCUGAGGCGUCGCAGGUAGAUCCCCCUCCCCCUGAUCCAUUUCUUGUUCUCCUGAUGUAGAUCCUCCUGAUCGUGUUCUUGUUGUCCUGAUCCUCUUCUUGCAGGUUACUGUCUUCUUCUCCUGCUCCGGGCUCCGGCGUCGCAGGUAUCCGUCGCCCCGUCGGGUGCCGCGCGCCAUUGAGUGACGGAGCGGUUGAGGCCUGAGACAGUGAGACCUGAGGGACGCCCCGGCCCCCGGCUGCCGCUUGCCCCAGGAGGUCGUCGUGAUGGACGAGAACUACACCAUCAACGACGACCUAAGGGCAUGUGGCCUGCCAGGUAAUAUCUUGCUGAUCCUCUUCUUGUUCUUGUUCUCCUGAUCAUCUUCUUGUUCCUGUCUUCCUGAUCCUCUUCUUGUUCCUGUCUUCCUGUUCCUCUUCUUGUUCUGUUCUACCAGGCGACGAUGAGGACGACGUGGCUGCCGGAGCCGUGCCACUCGUCGGUAGCUCUGCUGCUCCCGUCAAUGUGGAUGCUGCCGGUGACGGAGGUACCAUUCCACCUUCUACCCCAUCUUCUACCCCAACUACAUCAACGAGCACCAGUGUCCGCAAGGGGAAGCGGCGGUCUGCUGCCUGGAAUGACUUUGAGGAGUUGUUCCAGGAAGGCGCCAACGGGAAGAAGGUAAGGUACGCUGCCAAGUGCCGUCAUUGUUCUCACAUUCUUACUGGCCGGUCUUGUGCUGGUACUGGCCAUUUGCUCCGGCACCAGAAGAUGUGCUUGGCUAAACAAAACCAUUCUUCUCUUGUUCAGUCUCACCUGCAAUUCCAUUCUGAUGGCUCAAUUAUUAAUUGGGAAUACAAGCCCGAUCUUGCUCGCAAAGAAUUGUGCCGGUUGAUUGCUAGACUUGAUCUUCCCCUAGGCUUUGGUGAGACAGAGGCAUUUGUGGAGUACAUCCAGCGUGCUCAUAACCCUCGUUUUGCUAAAGUUUCUAGACAGACCACUUCUAGAGAUCUUGCCAAGUUCUUUGCCGAGCGUCGUCUUUCUCUUGUUGAUACUUUGAAGUCUCAUGUUUCUUCUGUUUGUCUUACUUCUGAUAUUUGGUCAGGGAAUGCCAAGGAGGACUACCUUAGUGUUGUUGCACAUUUUGUUUCUGCUGAUUGGGAAUUAGAGAAGAGAGUCAUUGCUCUUAGGUUGAUUGAUUGCUCCCAUUCUGGUGUUAACAUUGCUGAGCGUAUUGAACAAGUUGUUUCUGAGUUUGGUUUACAGGAUAAAAUUUUCUCUAUCACACUUGACAAUGCUUCUGCUAAUACUUCUGCCAUGUCCACACUUAUUCCCAAAUUUGUUGGUUAUCUAGGUCCAGAUCAUGAACCUCUUGAUUCUGAUUCUGAUUCUGAUAAAGCACUUGUUGGUCUUUUGCAUCAACGUUGUGCAUGUCAUAUUAUCAAUCUCAUAGUCAAGUCUGGUUUGAAGAGGAUCAAGGCUUAUCUUGAGGCUUUUAGGACUGCAAUCUCUUUUUUGAACUCUUCUAAUCAACGCAUGGCAGCUUUCCAUAACUUCUGCAUUCUCAAGGGGGUACGCCCUCGUAAGUUUGGUUUAAAUAUGGAUGUGAGAUGGAAUUCUACAUAUCUCAUGCUCAAACAUCUACUACCAUAUAAGAAUGUCUUUUCUGUCUUUAUUUCUGCUCAUUAUGUGCACAAUGGCCAGCCACUUCUGACUGAAAACCAUUGGGUAAUUGCUGAGAAAAUUUUGCUGUUCCUUGAAAUGUUUUAUGAUUCCACUGUUGCUUUAUCUGGUGUUUACUAUCCUACAAGUCCUUUGAUGUUGCAUCAUAUUAUUGAGAUUGCUGGCCAUUUGCAUGGCCAAGAUUCUGAUCCAUUGCUCAGAAAUAUUGUUGUUCCCAUGAAGCUUAAGUUUCUCAAGUAUUGGCAGAACAUACCUCUGUUGUAUUCCUUUGCAUUCAUUUUGGAUCCUAGAGCCAAGGUGAGAGGUUUUCAUAAUGUUCUCCAACUUCUUUCUCAGACAGUUGGUGUUGAUUACUCUUCUUAUUUCACUGAGGUAAGAACUCAAUUACAUAAGUUGUUUAACAAGUAUGAAAACAAGUUUGGUGCAGUUCGAUCGCAAAGGCCCGCUCAACCUUCAGCUGCUACUGGUAAGAAAAGAACAGCAUGGGGUAAGAUCUUUGGUGGUCCUGGUACAUGUGGUUCUCCUGUUCUUUCAUCUACACCUCCUAUAUCUCCUGCUUCAGAGCUGUCAUCCUACCUGGAUAGUGAUACUAUUUCUUGCUAUGAUGAUGACUUCAACAUACUUAGUUGGUGGUAUGAGCACAAGCUAUCCUAUCCUAUUUUGUCCAUACUUGCUAAAGAUGUUAUGUCUGUUCCAGUUUCCACUGUUUCUUCGGAAUCUUGUUUCAGUCUAACUGGCAGGGUGAUUGAGGAGCGGCGCCGACGGUUGCUGCCUGAGACGGUGGAGAUGCUGACCUGCCUCAAGGAUUGGGAGUUGGGAGAUGCAAGGGCCCAACAUGAUGUUGAGAAGGAGGUCAAUGAACUGGAGGAAACUUACAAAAGCCCCUACCCAGACAUGGAUGAAGGCCAAGCUAGUCAGUAAGUGAUUGUCAUUACUCAUCUUGUUAAAUUCUUUGAAUUACAAAUACUAAUGAGCUAAUGCUGUUGCCUGUUGCCUGUUGGCCUGUUGCCCUGUUGUGCACUUAUGCUUGUGCACCUCCAGGCCUACCCCAGGACCAGGAGCAACCUGAAGCCUGUUGUAUGUUGGCUGUUGCCUGUUGCUGUUGGACUUGGAGACUUGGAGACUUGGAUACUUGACUUUGAAUGCCUGUUGCCUGUUGGAGCAUGGAGCUUGGCCAGUUGCCCAGUUGUUCAUUAGAUGUUAAUAUGUUUUGUGUCUAUCAGUCUCUGUGUGUGUCUCAAACUCUUUGUAAUGUUGAAUUGAAACAAUGAGCUGGCUGUACUCUUUUUCCCUUCCUAGGGUUUUCUCACAAGGGUGAGUUUUUACCUAGGAAGGUUUUUAAUGAGGCAGCCAACACUUGAUCACACAGAUCAAGUGUUAAACAGCUCUAAUAAUUCCAUGUGAUGAAUGUCUGUGAUUUUGUGAUUGUGUGUUGUGUCUGUGAUUCCAUGUUAACAGCUCAAAUGAAUUGUGAAUUGUGAUUGUGUCUGUGUCUGUGAUUCUGUGAUUGUGUGUUGUGGUGUCGAAUAUGGGCUGUGGGCUGGCCCGACCCGUAAAAAAAGACGAGCCCUUCGGGCCGGCCCAGCACGAAAAAGACCUCACGGACCCGUGUAUGGGCAGCCCCCACGGCCCGUGGGCUGGCCCGGCCCGGCACGAGGGUGUUAUCGUGACGGGCCAGGCCCGGCACGAAAACGAACGGGCCAUGCCGGGCCCGUGCCGGACCGGGCCGGGCGGCCCGAAUGGACAUCUAUACCCCGAACCCUAUCCGCACCGCGCCGCCGUCCCCAUCCCGCGGCACCGUCCGCAUCCCGUCGCGCCGCGGUCCCAUCCCGUCGCGCCGCGGCCCCUCCGGCCGUCGCCCCUGCAGUUGCCGCCCGUCCUCCGGCCCUGUAGUUGCCACCCGUCCUCCGCCCGAGUGUGCUCCGCCCCUGCUCGCGCCCCUGUCGUGCCGCCGCCCCUCCGCCCCUCGUCGGCUGGGCCCUGCUCGCGCCGGCGUUCGUUGGCCCCUCGUCGGCCGGCCCCUACUCGCGCCGCCGUCGCCCGGACCCUGCUCGUGGACGGCGCCCGUGGACGUCGCCCGAUCUGCAGCGGCUCCUGCCCGUGGACGUCGCCCGAUCUGCAGCAAGGUGAACAGAUAGAAAAUGCUUCGUGAUUGCUUCACGUCCUCCGUUCUGAGGUCUUAAUUUCUGAAGACCUGACCGCCCAUAUGUUUCGGAAAUUCAGGAUGUAGAAUUUCGACGCAAAGGAUGCAGAAAUUCCCUAUUAUACACGUAACAAAAUGACCCAUGGUGCUGUCCAGAUACAGCUGCUAACCUUUCUCUCAAACAUGUUAAACAGGCAGUAGCAGUCCACCUGUAUGUACUGGAACAGUUUUUUGAAGAUAGAGGCAUGACAAAUUCAGGAGCACGGAUUCAAUCAAAUAGGCACCGAUUCUGACAAAUUCCGAAGCAAAGAUUCUCAAUCAAACAGUCUAUGAAUAAUUAUGCAUGAAACAAAUACAAUCAGUAGUACAUAGGGGUAAUAGAGAUAUUGCACAUCUCUUCUAGCCACUCUCGUCCUCGAAGAAGCUGGGUUGCCAAACGGACUCUAGCUUUCAGAAAGCCCGCUUUUGGAAAGCCAGCAUUGCAGGAUAGAAAGCCAGAAGUUAGCUUUCGGAAAGCAAAAGUAGGGCAGGAAAUGGCCAUCGACACCGCCGCCGCCAGCGGCGGAGAGAAGAGGCAGAGAGUGGAUGAGCAAGGGGAUCGAUGCGGAUCUGUGGGUGCGGAUGCGAUCCCGGCGGACCGCAUCUCGGCCCUGCCGGACGAGCUGCAGCAGCGCAUCCUGACGCACCUCCCGCUCAAGGACGCCGUCCGCACGGGGGCGGUCGCGCGCGGGUGGCGCGACCUGUGGAAGGGUCGGUGGGCGCACCGCGCCUCCGUCGAGAUCCACCUCCGUUCCCGCGACGCUCCGCAGAGGGAGCUCGACGCGCGAGCCGCGCCCGCGCCGCCGCAUCGCCGCUUCUCCCUCAUCGUCGACACCUGCAAGUUCAAGUCCUCGCAGAUCCGGCGCUUCAUCGAGUACGCCGCCGAGUGCCGCGUCGAGGACCUCCACGUCGAGACGCGGAAGAUCACGGCCGCGGACAAGCUCAACUUUCACUUGCCGCUGGCGAGCCCGCUCCUCGCGCGCCUCUCCCUCCGCUGCAUCAGCAUCUCCAACAUGUACUACAAGGGCGCGCAGCCGUUCCACGCUCUUGAGGUCAUCCUGCUCCACUCCGUCUCCAUUGCCCAAGCGACCUUCAAAAGAAUGAUGGCGCUGUGCCCCAGCCUCCUCACCCUCGACCUGCGCGGCUGUGCUUGUGAGCCCCUUUUCUUCUGGGGCGAAGCCAUGGUCUGGCCGGCGAAGCUGAGGAGUAUCACUGUUGCCGCGUGUUCCGGGACCAUCAGGCUGGACUUGGUGCGCGUGCCUAGCCUGCGGUCCUUCCGCUUCAGCUGCGGCUUCCUCGACAUUCCCUUCUUCCUUGCAGGCGAGGCUGUGCUUUCCGACCUUUCAUUCUGUUUCUGUACUCAUCAGUGUCAAGAAGCCACAAUGCUCAAAAGUUCAAUAAAGGUCUCCCAAAUGAUCUGUCCGCCCUCACAGUUCUCACCAUCUGCAACAAUGCCCUCCCGGUACUUUCUCACUAUUGGAUUUUCGUACCACCUAGCUCAUAUAUUGUUUGAUUGCCACAUAAGAAAAAAGUACCAAGUUUCUUCACUAACAAAUGCCUUUCAGGUCGUGUCUUCCUCGUAUGAUGAUGGAGCAACUGCCCAGUUGCCCAAGCUGAGCAACCUGCACGGUUUGAGAGAGUUACAUCUACUCAUGUUAAAAAUGGAGGACGCCAACCUUGCUGACAUCUAUGUGUUUCUCAAGACCAUCCAAUGCCACAAUCUGGAGAGGCUUUUUGUGCAGGUUAACACCUGCCCUGCCUCGCUGAUUUUCUCUGAUCUGUAGUCACUCUCUCUUUUUUUUAUUUCAUCUACUUCUCGGUUCUUAUUUUAUCAAUAGCCUUCUGAAUGGUUGUGCUUCAACUGCAGCUCCCGGGAUUCGUGUAUGAGCCCAUGGAGGGUUCGCAAUCGCUUGGCGUUGUGCUGAGGUGCAGCUAGUGAGCUUUUUAUUGAGGAAAGCCAAGUCCCUGCAGAAAUUGUUAAUAGUUUCUCCAAAUGUCACUCCACGGGAUGUGCCCGGUGUACAAGAAGCAGAGUUGUUGUUUCUCAAAGAAGCUUUAGGGGGGCGUUUGGUUCCUUGCUUAUUUUUAAGCAAGUGUCACAUCAAUGUUUAGAUACUAAUUAGGAGUAUUAAACGUAGGCUAUUUACAAAACCCAUUACAUAAGUGGAGGCUAAACAGCGAGACGAACCUAUUAAGCCUAAUUAAUCCAUCAUUAACAAAUGUUUACUGUAGCAACACAUUGUCAAAUCAUGGACUAAUUAGGCUUAAUAGAUUCGUCUCGCCGUUUAGCCUCCACUUAUGUAAUGGAUUUUGUAAAUAGUCUACGUUUAAUACUCCUAAUUAGUAUCUAAACAUUGAUGUGACACUUGCUUAAAAAUAAGCAAAUGGAACCAAACCAGGCCUUAGCCAAUGGCAAAAUAAUUCUGAGUGAGUCUGACGAUGCUGCAACUCAGCCAUACCAUUCUGAGGUCUUUAUCAAGCUCUAGUUGUCAGUCACCAGUUGGGGUCAGAACCGAAUGGAUAGUAAUAUCCGCAUCAGCUUGUAAGGGCAUUAUCCUCUUGGAUGUAGCUUACUGACAAUAUAUAUGAAGACCGAUGUUGUCUCCUUAUUUUCUUCUCUUGAAUAUUACUACUAGCAAAGUAUUUAAAUGCAUGGUAUUCCAACACAUGCUUACUUACCUAUCCUGAUACCACUUGCAUGAUGCAUUACGAACCAGCUCCAUAUCACCUUUCACAAUUCAACAACGAGGUGAAUUAAUUUGUGUAUCUGAAAUAACGAUGAUGUAACAUGAUGUUGGUUAUCUUGUUUGUUUGUUAUGUUGAGGUAUCAUGUUGCAUCAAAGU